GGAAUGAGACNNGGCCCNNANUCCUACGGGAGGCAGCAGUGGGGAAUNUUGCACAAUGGGCGCAAGCCUGAUGCAGCGACGCCGCGUGAGGGAUGACGGCCUUCGGGUUGUAAACCUCUUUCAGUAGGGAAGAAGCGAAAGUGACGGUACCUGCAGAAGAAGCGCCGGCUAACUACGUGCCAGCAGCCGCGGUAAUACGUAGGGCGCAAGCGUUAUCCGGAAUUAUUGGGCGUAAAGAGCUCGUAGGCGGUUUGUCGCGUCUGCCGUGAAAGUCCGGGGCUCAACCCCGGAUCUGCGGUGGGUACGGGCAGACUAGAGUGAUGUAGGGGAGACUGGAAUUCCUGGUGUAGCGGUGAAAUGCGCAGAUAUCAGGAGGAACACCGAUGGCGAAGGCAGGUCUCUGGGCAUUAACUGACGCUGAGGAGCGAAAGCAUGGGGAGCGAACAGGAUUAGAUACCCUGGUAGUCCAUGCCGUAAACGUUGGGCACUAGGUGUGGGGGACAUUCCACGUUUUCCGCGCCGUAGCUAACGCAUUAAGUGCCCCGCCUGGGGAGUACGGCCGCAAGGCUAAAACUCAAAGGAAUUGACGGGGGCCCGCACAAGCGGCGGAGCAUGCGGAUUAAUUCGAUGCAACGCGAAGAACCUUACCAAGGCUUGACAUGAACCGGAAACGCCUGGAAACAGGUGCCCCGCUUGCGGUCGGUUUACAGGUGGUGCAUGGUUGUCGUCAGCUCGUGUCGUGAGAUGUUGGGUUAAGUCCCGCAACGAGCGCAACCCUCGUUCCAUGUUGCCAGCGGGUUAUGCCGGGGACUCAUGGGAGACUGCCGGGGUCAACUCGGAGGAAGGUGGGGACGACGUCAAAUCAUCAUGCCCCUUAUGUCUUGGGCUUCACGCAUGCUACAAUGGCCGGUACAAAGGGUUGCGAUACUGUGAGGUGGAGCUAAUCCCAAAAAGCCGGUCUCAGUUCGGAUUGGGGUCUGCAACUCGACCCCAUGAAGUCGGAGUCGCUAGUAAUCGCAGAUCAGCAACGCUGCGGUGAAUACGUUCCCGGGCCUUGUACACACCGCCCGUCAAGUCACGAAAGUUGGUAACACCCGAAGCCGGUGGCCUAACCCCUUG
rnacentral:rRNA from 1 species